UUAAGAGCCUCAGUAAAAUAUGGAGCAAAGAGCAACAGGGCAAUCUCAUAAAAUCUCCACACAGCUGAUGGGAAAGAACAGGGAAAACAGGAAAAAAGGUUAAUGCUGAGGAGCAGAAGGUCUGCCAAAAGAGCAGGAAAGCUGAAAAAACGCAGCAAGUCAGAUAUAAACAGGGAAGCAAGAGGGCUGGGAGAAGGCUUGAGGACUGUCCUGCCAAAUGUGCUCAAACCAGUGGUGAACAGUUCAGCAAAUCUACUGCAGGCAUCAGGAGACAAGCAGGAGGGACUCAUUAAUUGGAAUAGAAAUCCUGGAGGGGUUAUCCUGAAGAGACAAGCUAAUGUCAGUCAGUCCUGGACAGCUUGGAAGCAGCCAGGACCAGCUGGGCCAGAAAGGGAUGAGGCACGAUGACUGUCAGCAGGAGCAUGGUGAUGUCCUAGUGCUACCCUGUGCAAGGGGGAUGAGUCAAAGUUGACUCUUUCUCUCCAGGGGAGAUGCUGGGUGCAGUCUGGGAGAGAGGAGAUGACAACCUUAGGGCUGCCGGGAGACCCUCCAAGGAAGCAGCACUGCUGUGUGCCAGGACCUUCAAUUUUGGUGCUCUUUGCUCUCAGUGUUACCUCCACACAGGGAAAAUGAAGGAAUGCAUCACCACUGACACAGCAUUCCCAGUGCCCUGCUGGUCCCUCCUCCAGCCACCACCUGUGUACCCCCACCUGCAUCCCACACCCUGUGUGUGAGCCAGAGACAGCCGUGGCUUACAGCCCAUCAGCUUUGUGCCUGGCAAGCUGAGGGUGAUGCUUGCAGGACUCUGCCCCCAAAUGGCAGCCUAAGCUCAGCCCCAUCACUGUGCCAGACCCAGCUCUCUCCUGGAGAUCUCAUCUUGCCUGGCCUCAUUCCAGGGCUCUCCCUUGAGCAAGCACCUGUUUGUCAAUGCAGGCAGGAGGGGAAACAUGCUCUUUUUCUCAUGUUAAACAUAAACUGCUUUUCAAGAAGUUUCUCUGAAAGGGCUGGGGAAGGGACACAGGAAUCUGGAUGAAUUUGCUUGCUCUGUGGCCCCAGCUCACACCAAGCAGGGCAGGCAGACAUUGAUUUGAAUUGAACUGCAGUUCAUGGGAGCAAAAAGGGAGGUGGGAGUGUGAGCAGAGCUUGAUGGGGCACAGCACCCACCAGCCAGCCAUGUGAGCGGAGGGAGAUCCCAAGGGACACAUCCCAACCUUGAGCUAGAGGCUAUGGGGGGCCCCCUCCAGCUGUAGGAGGGACAUGGAGGGGCUGGAGCUGGCAACCAGAGUGUCCCAGUGUGGGAUGACUCCUCCCUUGCAUGAGCAAUUCAGACAUCACAGCCGACCUGGGCGUUUCUGGGAAGACUUCAGGAGCUCUCCCAGCCUUGCGGGGUUUGGCAGAACCACGGAUGGUCAGUGUUACCAAGGAGCCCCAGCCCUGCAGAGGGAUGGGGGUUUCGGGCAGGGCACACAGUGAGAAGGGGCAGGGGGGGACCCAGUGUCCUCCCCUGGGUAGGUGAUGAGGAUACAGGCUGGCACACAUUUCCAUGGGCAGCAGCAAGAGAUGCUGCUGGAGAUGCUGUGAGCCUGGGCAUUCUCUGUGGGCUGGUCCCCUUUUGCUCCACUGGUGUCUGUAGUCAUCGCAUCAGGGAUAUUGGUGGGGAUGUGCCAGUCUAGGGUCUUCAGGACCACCUCCCCAUCCUACUCUGAGAGUAAGCGGUGGCUGUGGACAGAAAUGUCUGCUGGAUCUGCUCAGCCUCUUUCUGCUGAGCCUCAGCAGGUGGCCCUGAUGGUGAUGUUGCAGGCUGCUGUGAGUAACAGCUCUGCAUCACCUUGUCCACCAGCUCUGUCAGUAUAUAGCCCUCCAUCGUCCUCCACUCCCGCCCCCUCGUUUCCUCCCAGAGCCCCCCCCCACCCCCCGCCCCGGUAGUCUUGCCCCUCAGGCAGCUGCUCCAUCCCCUCAAGUGUUGCGGAUGCUACUCACCCUGGCUCAAAUAGAUCCCUCUGAAGGUUUGGGGGACCAGACCUGCACCUCAUACCUGUGGUGUGGAUGCAGUAAGGUUUCAUGCAGCUGCAGAGCUGUACCCUUCUUAUCUUCCACUGGUGGUGUACGAGCGUGACUGUGCAGCGGGAAGGGAAACAAGUACCAUUUCCCACAGGCAGCCAAGAGGCAGAGACCCAAGGGCGAGACGCUGUGAUGAGGCAUGCAAGAAGCAUCCGUCUCGUCCCCUUUCCCAUGAAAUGCUUCUCUAGGUCCUUCAUCUGAUGUGUGCUGAGGUCUUGAUUUUCCCCUGGAGUGGAUGAGUCAUAGAGAAGCCGAGAGGGAGCAGGGGCUGCCAGGACAUCCCAGGUGCCUGUGUCUGUUGGGGAGACUUCAUGGAGGGAACAGGCACUGCCCAAGGGUGCAGGCAGAGAGCAGGAAGGAUGCCUGUGGUCCAGAGGUCUCAGGCUAGCUCUCUUCCUACUGGCACUGCACAGGGUUCCCAAGCCCUGGCAUAAGAAGGGGGAUCCCUCCUCUGGUCUCCCUUGUCCUUCCCUGGGGAGGAGGUUGCAUUGUGUGGGAGGGUGAGCUCUGAGCCAUGGCUCUGCUAAAUUAGCACCUGUGUAUCUGCUGGCUGUGGAGAAAAUGCUCUCGCUUGCCAUUGUCUCUCGAGUGUUGCUUGGUUCUUUUUUUGUGGAUAUCCAGCUUGGGAAUGGGACAGGCUGUCUCCAUCAUGUUGUGACUCCACCAGACAAUAACUCUCCAUAGCAUGUGGCCCAGGGAGGGAGGCAGAGGCCCCAGGACAUGGCCAGGGCUGGGGCCCCAUGCCCACCCAGCUUUAUGCACAGGACUCUAGGCUCUGUGAUGACAGGGGCUGUGCCAUAUGAUGCAAGGGGCUGCAGACAGGAGCCUGUCCUGUCCCUGCUGAGCUAGCAGGUGAUGCUGCAGUGGUCCCCUGGCUCACCUCCCUGCUGAGCUGCAGCGAUUCACGCUGUCCUGUUCCUUGCAUCCAUAGGAAGGAUGCAGGUGGGCUCCAGAUCCUGGAGCACUUCUGCUGCCGGCCAAGCCUCCAGCUACCCCCAUAACAUCUCCUUCUGCCCUUCACUAACGCGUCCACCAGAGCUGGCUGCUGGGCCCAGGCGCAGUGCUACUACACUCCAGACUUCCGGCACCCCAACCUGGCUUAGCUCAUCCCCCGUCUACAUGGGCGGGUAACGUGCUCCCCACUCAGCCAGGCUUUUGUGCUUGCCAGCUUUCCUAAUUGGGGGAAUAUCUGGAUUUCCAAUUAUUCCCACUCCCUGCCUGAGCUACUUGGGUCAUUUCCCAAACGCCCACCUUCAUGUCUGUACGUGCUUCACCUCCAGAAAGGAGGGAUGUCUUUUGCAGACCAAGAUGCUGUCAUGUCAUUUCUUGCCAGAUCCUUGCUGAAGAUGUCAGCUGAAGGGAGGGCAUGGUGCUGCCCUUUGCACCAGAUGUCCCUCCUGGACCAGCUCCUCCACCGCUGUCCUGGUGGGUCUGGGCCAUCAGCAGACACAGGGUUCUGAGGCAGAACAACGGCUGUGCCAGAGAGAUGCAGAACUGACUUAUGUCAGUUGUCCUGAGCACUCACACCCAGGGACUGCAGCUGGGAGAAUGUGGCUUUAACAUGGACAAAUGGCACAUCAAAGUGGCAGGAUCUGCCACAGCCACUGCUUGGGGGUUGGCACAGAUGGGACAGUCCUGCCUGUCCGUGUUUUUCAGCUCCCUCUGCUUGCUGCAGCCUUUGUUUUUCUGCACAGACGCUUGCCAAAUGUUGUCCUUUGCCUUCUUGUCCCUUAUUGCCCCCCUGGCCUCAAUCCUAUGGCUUCCACUUCUCCCCAGCCUUCUCACUAAGACCCCCCGUGAGAAACCACGGUGGCAGCAGGGCUAAACCCCCUGCCCACACCUCUGCUGCAUGUAAUGGGAGCAUCUCAAGGCAACCGUGCACAAGCAACUGUUUUUCAGCAGUGCUGCCAGUUCAUGGCACCCCUGCUGCUCCCACGGCACGGCUCCUUGAGCUGCCCGGCAGCCUGGGGACACACUGCCCUUCACAGCGCAGGGGCAGCCUGCUUUGGGAGGGGGACGUGGGUGCAUGAGUGCCAGCCCUGGAGUCACUGCCAGGGACGCGCCUGAGCUGUGGUAGCCAGCGUUUCCAACCCCUCCCUGCUGCUCAAAGGAGGGAAAACAGGCCAGUCAUCCCACAGGGUUGCCAGGGUGACAUUUUUUUUGGCCGUCGUGCUGUCUCAGCCGCUGAGCUGGCAGGGGCUGUGUGCUGGGAGCUGGGGCACCCUGUAUGUCCCUGCACCAGGGUGCCCCUGCCCAGGGCCACCCAGCAGCACAGGGC